rnacentral:rRNA from 1 species
AUUGAACGCUGGCGGCAUGCCUUACACAUGCAAGUCGAACGGCAGCACGGGUGCUUGCACCUGGUGGCGAGUGGCGAACGGGUGAGUAAUACAUCGGAACAUGUCCUGUAGUGGGGGAUAGCCCAGCGAAAGCCGGAUUAAUACCGCAUACGAUCUACGGAUGAAAGCGGGGGACCUUCGGGCCUCGCGCUAUAGGGUUGGCCGAUGGCUGAUUAGCUAGUUGGUGGGGUAAAGGCCUACCAAGGCGACGAUCAGUAGCUGGUCUGAGAGGACGACCAGCCACACUGGGACUGAGACACGGCCCAGACUCCUACGGGAGGCAGCAGUGGGGAAUUUUGGACAAUGGGCGAAAGCCUGAUCCAGCAAUGCCGCGUGUGUGAAGAAGGCCUUCGGGUUGUAAAGCACUUUUCUCCGGAAAGAAAUCCUUGGCCCUAAUACGGUCGGGGGAUGACGGUACCGGAAGAAUAAGCACCGGCUAACUACGUG